AUGUGGAAUGACGAUCUUAAGGUUUCUGUUCGUAGUUCUUCCUUCCACUUUAUCUUAGCGGAUGUAGUUCAUCUAGCCUCGGGGGUUCACUUUUGUUUGGUUUGUAUAUAUGGUGACCCCUACCAUAGGCAGACUAGUGACAUUUGGAAUCAGAUCUCCACUUUUGUGUAUGAUAACUUUGGCAAACCCAUGAUCUGUAUGGGUGAUCUUAACGAUAUUUUGUAUGAUACGGAUGGUUGCAAUGGUACUGUUAAUUAUUAUCGUUUGUCUGCUUUUCGUGCUAUGAUUAAAAAUUGUGGCUUCUUUGACAUUGGUUUUAGUGGUCCUGCUUACACUUGGCGUAAUAGGCAGCACACGAUUAGGCCUAUUUACAGACGUUUAGAUCGUUGUCUUGUUAAUGCAGAUUGGUGUGCUCUGUAUCCCAACUCUAAGGUGCUUAACUUGCCUAUCAUACUUAGUGACCAUGCUCCCAUUCUCAUUUCCACGGAUGGUAGUUUUGUUAAACCUAGGCAAUCCUUCAAAUUUGAGAAUUGGUGGUUAAUGGAGAAAGAUUUUAAUAGUUUUGCUAAAUCUUCCUGGAACAAUGUUAGAUCUACCUCUUUUGUUGCAAAAACCACUUCUUUGGCAGGAUCUUUGAAAAAAUGGUGUAGGAAGAAGAAACCCUUUCAACUAGAACUGCAGGAGUUGGAGUCCCGUAUUAAUCAAAUUCAAAUGCUUCCUUGGAACUAG
rnacentral:rRNA from 1 species